rnacentral:rRNA from 1 species
GAUGAACGCUGGCGGCGUGCCUAAUACAUGCAAGUCGAGCGAACAGACGAGGAGCUUGCUCCUCUGACGUUAGCGGCGGACGGGUGAGUAACACGUGGAUAACCUACCUAUAAGACUGGGAUAACUUCGGGAAACCGGAGCUAAUACCGGAUAAUAUAUUGAACCGCAGGGUUCAAUAGUGAAAGACGGCUUUGCUGUCACUUAUAGAGGGAUCCGCGCCGCAUUAGCUGGUUGGUAAGGUAACGGCUUACCAAGGCAAGGAUGCGUAGCCGACCUGAGAGGGUGGUCGGCCACACUGGAACUGAGACACGGUCCAGACUACUACGGGAGGCAGCAGUAGGGAAUGUUCCGCAAUGGGCGAAAGCCUGACGGAGCAACGCCGCGUGAGUGAUGAAGGUCUUCGGAUCGUAAAACUCUGUUAUUAGGGAAGAACAAAUGUGUAAGUAACUAUGCACGUCUUGACGGUACCUAAUCAGAAAGCCACGGCUAACUACGUG